rnacentral:lncRNA from 1 species
AUGGAAUUUCAGCAAGUGGCAACCACGCUCAGCCUGAGUGCCUCAGAUCAGCCCAAAACAAGCCUCAGGUCUCUUGCAAUAGCAAGCCCUGGCACAGACUGGGAAGGAAGAUGCUCAGACUCCAAACUGGUCUCCAAGCCCUCAUCAGCAUCCCUUGUUUCUCUGAAUGCUCAACAAGGCCUCCACAAACCCCAGCAGCCAGAGCUACACAGGCACCAGAUGAAGAGCAAGCGUGCUGGCUGCAGAAUCUCUAUUGGCAUCACUGAACCAGAGCCCAUGGCAGUAAAGCCCCUGUGCAGCCCAGUAGCCAGGUCAGUUACCUCUCUUCCCACUUCACAUUUCAAGUCAAGCAGGACAGAGAAAAAGAAAAAAAAAAUUAGAAGGGUGGAAAAAAAAGAAAAAAAAAAAAAGAAGAAGAAAUUCCUACCCUCUGUCCUACCAGAUUUCACCUCCAUCCACAGUGGAAUACCACCCGGGGCUUUUGCAAACACAUGA